rnacentral:rRNA from 1 species
GCUUAACACAUGCAAGUCGAGCGCACCUUCGGGUGAGCGGCGGACGGGUUAGUAACGCGUGGGAACAUACCCUUUUCUACGGAAUAGCCUCGGGAAACUGAGAGUAAUACCGUAUAAGCCCUUCGGGGGAAAGAUUUAUCGGGAAAGGAUUGGCCCGCGUUAGAUUAGAUAGUUGGUGGGGUAAUGGCCUACCAAGUCUACGAUCUAUAGCUGGUUUUAGAGGAUGAUCAGCAACACUGGGACUGAGACACGGCCCAGACUCCUACGGGAGGCAGCAGUGGGGAAUCUUAGACAAUGGGCGCAAGCCUGAUCUAGCCAUGCCGCGUGUGUGAUGAAGGUCUUAGGAUCGUAAAGCACUUUCGCCAGGGAUGAUAAUGACAGUACCUGGUAAAGAAACCCCGGCUAACUCCGUGCCAGCCGCCGCGGUAAUA